rnacentral:piRNA from 1 species
UACUGAAGGUAACACUCUUUACUAAAGA